UGUGAUCCUUUGACACCUUCAGCAGUUCAAGGGCCUUCAAAUAAGGGUCGGGAAAUGGUUUUGCACGCUCACACUCACUUCCAAUAAUAACCACAUCAAAGAAAUCCUUUAGGCCAAGUAUUUCUAUUAUCAGUUCACCGUUCAGUCUAGGCGCAUUGGUAACUGCAGCCCUUUUCAGCCCACGAUCCUCAAUCCACUUCUUCACCUUGUACAGGCCAUCUAUAGGUUUCAACUGUUCUUUCACCAACCUAUGUUGUAACCAAAACAGCUUGCCUAUGAGACUGGAGGAAGAGUAGCACAAGGUCAAUUGAAAUAGACAAGUAGCGUAAGUAGAGUUACGAACCUUCUAAACAUAGCUUCCUUCUCGUCACAGAAUUUAAGACCCCUUUCCAGAUCAUCAGGGAAAAGGGCAGCAGCAAUGUCGUCAUUGUGUUUGCCAGCAAUAGUUUUGACAAACCAGUCCUCAUCAACCAGCACACCACCAUUGUAGCCUAUCUGCAGAACCAAAAUCGCCAGUGAUGAGCUUAAAAUUACUUAAUAUUUAUGUUUGCUUUGUGUCUUUGAUUUGGUUGAUUCGAUAGAGAUUUGGUCUGAUUUGGGUCUAAUAUGUUGCCCUUCAGUGCAGGUGGUGGUGCACAGGGGAUCAAUAGACGAAUAGUGCACUAAGUGGGAGGAAAACAAGUUGAGCAAGAAGAAAUUCUCGUGCGCGGGCAACCCCCAAACGCGCACCUGAGCGCGCAAGUGCCACAGAAGUCUGCCAGAGGUGCGCGACCAUGAGCGCGGUCAUACUCCCAGGUGCGCAUCCGCGCACGUCCGUCUCCGAGAAUUCUAGUCAGG
rnacentral:lncRNA from 1 species